GAUUAGCUCAGCCGGUAGAGCACUCGGCUGUUAACCGAUAGGUCGUAGGUUCGAGUCCUACAUC
rnacentral:tRNA from 2 species